rnacentral:rRNA from 1 species
UGAGCAAUCUGCCCUUCUCUUUGGAAUAAGCGUUGGAAACGACGUCUAAUGCCGAAUACGACCUCCUUUCGCAUGAUCGGAGGUGGAAAGCUCCGGCGGAGAAGGAUGAGCUCGCGGCCUAUCGGCUAGUUGGUGUGGGUAAUGGCCCACCAAGGCGACGACGGGUAGCCGGCCUGAGAGGGUGACCGGCCACACUGGGACUGAGACACGGCCCAGACUCCUACGGGAGCAGCAGG